rnacentral:tRNA from 1 species
GGGUCGUGGCUCGGUGGUAGAGUGCUGGCCUCACGCGCGUGAGCCUUGGGUUUGAGCCUCAGCUCCA